UGCUCUAAAUGCUUUGGUUUUUGAGUUAUAAGCCAAAAACUGCAUUUGACCCCUAUGUUCUAUUUUUAGCAAUGGCGGCCAUGUUUGUUGAUAGAUCAUAACUUCGGAUACAAUUUACAAACUAGAUACCCUAAGGAACAUUCAGUUAAAGUUUGGAAGUAUUUGGCCCAGUAGUUUCAGAGGAGAAGAUUUUUGUAAAAGAUUACUAAGAUUUACGAAAAAUGGUUAAAAAUUGACUAUAAAGGGCAAUAACUCCUAAAGGGGUCAACUGACCAUUUCCUUCAUGUUGACUUAUUUGUAAAUCUUACUUUGCUGAACAUUAUUGCUGUUUACAGUUUAUCUUUAUCUAUAAUAAUAUUCAAGAUAAUAACCAAAAACCGC
rnacentral:lncRNA from 1 species